GAUAAACGCUGGCGGCGUGCCUAAUACAUGCAAGUCGAGCGAACGGACGAGAAGCUUGCUUCUCUGAUGUUAGCGGCGGACGGGUGAGUAACACGUGGAUAACCUACCUAUAAGACUGGGAUAACUUCGGGAAACCGGAGCUAAUACCGGAUAAUAUUUUGAACCGCAUGGUUCAAAAGUGAAAGACGGUCUUGCUGUCACUUAUAGAUGGAUCCGCGCUGCAUUAGCUAGUUGGUAAGGUAACGGCUUACCAAGGCAACGAUGCAUAGCCGACCUGAGAGGGUGAUCGGCCACACUGGAACUGAGACACGGUCCAGACUCCUACGGGAGGCAGCAGUAGGGAAUCUUCCGCAAUGGGCGAAAGCCUGACGGAGCAACGCCGCGUGAGUGAUGAAGGUCUUCGGAUCGUAAAACUCUGUUAUUAGGGAAGAACUUAUGUGUAAGUAACUGUGCACAUCUUGACGGUACCUAAUCAGAAAGCCACGGCUAACUACGUG
rnacentral:rRNA from 1 species